rfam:Ixodes scapularis strain Wikel colony gcontig_1108378249404, whole genome shotgun sequence.
CCCUGGUUAGCUCAGAUGAAAGAGCGCUCCACUUGUAAUGGAGAGGCCCGGGUUCAAUACCCGGACCAGGCG